rnacentral:tRNA from 3 species
GACGAGCUGGUUCAUUGGUAGAACGGCGGACUGUUAAUCCGCGAGCAUUAGCUCUAUGUAGGUUCAAUUCCUACGCUCGUCG